CAAAAAAGAUUAAUGACGGUUAUAAUAAGGUGGGCUUGAAGGACGUUACCCCAGUUGCAACUACCAUAUCAUCAACAAAGGAAUCAGAGUCGGAGUCGGAAUCGUCGGUGGGGA